AUACUCUAGUUUCUCUUCAGAUUGUUCAAAUCUUUCACCUUUUACUAAAGACUUCAUGGAGAGGAAUAAUUAUGAGUUGUUAACUAAUUUUUUGUUAGCCCUCCUAAGAUAGGGCUU
rnacentral:snRNA from 1 species